rnacentral:rRNA from 1 species
UACGUAGGCAGCAAGCGUUGUUCGGAGUUACUGGGCGUAAAGAGUGCGUAGGCGGUCCUGUAAGUUUGGUGUGAAAUCUCCCGGCUCAACUGGGAGGGUGCGCCGAAGACUGCAGGGCUUGAGUAUGGGAGAGGUAAGCGGAAUUCCUGGUGUAGCGGUGAAAUGCGCAGAUAUCAGGAAGAACACCAAUGGCGAAGGCAGCUCGCUGGAACGGUACUGACGCUGAGGCGCGAAAGCGUGGGGAGCGAACAGG